rnacentral:misc_RNA from 1 species
AACAAGGCGUACCUGCGGACCUGCGGAGGGAUCAUUACCGAGUUCACAACUCCCAAACCCACCGCGAACCCGCAGGACUUUCUCGGCCGCCCCCCGGGCGGCCGGCGCAAACCCCCUGUAUCUCGGACGGAUUCUCUGAGUCUCACCGUAACGAAUCAAAACUUUUAACAAUGGAUCU